rnacentral:rRNA from 1 species
AACCCUCGCCCUUAGUUGCCAGCAUUAGUUGGGCACUCUAAGGGGACUGCCGGUGAUAAGCCGAGAGGAAGGUGGGGAUGACGUCAAGUCCUCAUGGCCCUUACGGGCUGGGCUACACACGUGCUACAAUGGUGGUGACAGUGGGCAGCGAGCACGCGAGUGUGAGCUAAUCUCCAAAAGCCAUCUCAGUUCGGAUUGCACUCUGCAACUCGAGUGCAUGAAGUUGGAAUCGCUAGUAAUCGCGGAUCAGCAUGCCGCGGUGAAUACGUUCCCGGGCCUU